rnacentral:snoRNA from 1 species
GCAGGAUGAUGUGUUAUCCCCAGUAUUUGAGCACUGAUAGCCAAUCUUGUUUCGCCUGAUC